AACAAAUUGGCGCGCAAGACGGACCGCGCAUGCGCAUGAAGAAACGUUCCAGAUACAGUCCACGCGGUGAGAUCCAAACCGCGUUAGUAACAUCUUUGAAGGUUUCAUGAAAUUCAGUCUGGCUCGAUCCGCUUGGUAGCAAUGGUCCAGGUGAUGCUGUAAGGAAGGUUUUGCAAGUUGCCACAUACAAUGGAUCGAAAGGGAAAGAAAUACCUUUGGCACUGUGAUUAUUCGUAAGUGUUUCAAAAGUUUCUGUAACUCGACUGAUAUUGCUUCUACAGGGAGUGCAGAAUUAUUUGCCAAGAUGUAUUUUUGAGGAUUACUUUUGUUAUUGUACAACUACAGUGCUCUUGGUCAAUUCAAAAUGUUAACAAACCCUCAAACCUGAACAUUUAAGUAGUAAAAGUGAAAUUUUGCCUUUCUUAAGAGAAUAUUUCUAUGUACACCAUUAUUAGGCAACUAUUAGUGUGCAGAAUUAUUAGGCAACUCAGGGCUCCAAACUGCGACUAAAAUGGUCGCAUUUGCGACCAAAUAUAUUUAUUUGCGAGUGAAAUUUCUGUCAAGGUCGCCAUUGGCGACAAUACAAAUUUACUCCCUUUGAUUGUAAAAUUUGCAUUAUAUGUGCAUGUUUUAUAACCAGUAGCCUAUCGCUUCAUUUGUUUUGUUAACUUCAUGAAAUGAGAUGCGUUGUGUGAACGUCACCCCUCGUUCAGACAGCCAGCGACGUUAUCGCUGUGUGUCGCUUGUCUCUUUCAAUGAGGCGUUUCUAAAUCUGCUUGUCAUAAACAAAUGAGUACCAUCCACGCCAGUAACUGACGAGAGAAGGAUGACGUGAACUCCACUGCUUUGUUCUCAUUGGUAGUCGCUCCCGAAAGUCGCUCGACCUUUGCAUAAAGUAAAACUUUUCUUAACUUUCUCGCGUCGCUGGACACGCGCAUACGGUCGCCAACGGUCACUUUCACUCGUGUCGCGGAAGUCGCCAGGUUUCCAUUGAAAUGAAUGAGAUUGCGUCGCUCUGCUACUGCUAACAAAAAGCAGGCUCCAGCAGCUGUGCCAGAACGAGCGCGAGAGAGAACGCCAGAGACACAGGGAUUCAUCUUUCCGCAUCAGUCAAUGAACACCGUGCCGAAAGACAUUUCAAAACGUCCUGGAUUUUAGACUAUUUGAACGACAAAGAUGCUAAACGGAGCGUUUUUUUGUGCGCAUACGUGCACACACUCAAGCCCAAUGCGCGUUUUAAAAAUCACGCAAACACAUGAUUUCUUUGGGCUUCACAGGAGAUAUACGCACAAUCUUGUAAUGCCACAGUCUCUGCAAGUAUACUCAUAAAAACAGACAUUUAUAAGUGAGCAGUUGAUCAGAUGUGUCAGUAGCUACGUUUACAUGGACACAUUUUGCCUCCAUCGGAUUAAAAUCCUUCCGAUUAAUAAAUCCUAUCAUAGCGUUUACAUGAACACUUAAUAAUGUGAUUGGAUUGAUGUGCGUGCUUAUAUGACACAAGAUUUACAUCAGAUUUGAUCAUUUGACAUGCGCACAUUGCACAAAUAUAGUUUCACGCUGUUUCAAGAUUUGCUUUGUGCCUCAGCUGAUUAUAAAGCAGCAGCAAAAACACCCAUUCACGUGUGCCCAAAAAGCGUAUUUUACUUCACGCAGUGCUGCAGAGACCGUUCGCGAGAGCGAGUCCAAACACACGCAUUUGUGGAUCAGAGAGUAAACCAUGGACUGACCGGACAACGCUGUCUUGUAUCACUUUAUGGGGAAUUGGAAGGAUAAUAGGAACAAGAUUAACAAGACAAAUCACUUCUUGUGACUUCCUUCAACAAAACAAACUCAAAUAUUUGCGUCACAUAUCAUUACGGCAAUUCUACGUCAUUGCACGUGUGAAUAUGCUCAACACUCCCGUCCUGCAGGUGGCGGAAAUGCGCCUUUCAGUGGGUUUACCAACCGCCAUUAAAAAAAGAAAAGAUGGCACAUGCGCAGAGCGUCCCAGUUUCAGUUAUCCAUCCGAUCAAGUGUAUACAUGUCCUUUUGAGCGGAUUACAAAAGGUAUAAACCACCCCUAACAAGCGGAUUAGAUUUUUAAUCAGAUUGUUACUUUUUAGACCGAUUGAGGUGUUUACAUGGAGCAUUUUUAUUCAGAUUGAUCAUUUAAACGGAUUACAAAUGUCCAUGUAAAUGCAGCUAGUGUAAAGAUCAGUGCUUCUCCGUUCUUAAAGGGACAGUUCAUCUUAUAAGAAAAGCUUAUGUUUGAGUCGUUAUGUAAAUCAGACUACAGAAGACAAAAGGAAAAUCGCUUUUAUAGCUUUAAAAAGAUCAAUUAUAUUUAAUUUAUAGAAUGAAAACAGUGCUAUAUUAAUUUGAUACUGUUUCUCUACCUAA